rnacentral:rRNA from 1 species
UCCUACGGGAGGCAGCAGUGAGGAAUAUUGGUCAAUGGAGGCAACUCUGAACCAGCCAUGCCGCGUGAAGGAUGACGGCCCUAUGGGUUGUAAACUUCUUUUAUAGAGGAAGAAACUUAUCUACGUGUAGACAACUGACGGUACUCUACGAAUAAGGAUCGGCUAACUCCGUGCCAGCAGCCGCGGUAAUACGGAGGAUCCAAGCGUUAUCCGGAUUCAUUGGGUUUAAAGGGUCCGUAGGCGGGUCUUUAAGUCAGUGGUGAAAGCCGACAGCUCAACUGUCGAACUGCCAUUGAUACUGGAGACCUUGAGUACAAAUGAAGUAGGCGGAAUGAGUCAUGUAGCGGUGAAAUGCAUAGAUAUGACUCAGAACACCGAUUGCGAAGGCAGCUUACUAACAUGUAACUGACGCUGAGGGACGAAAGCGUGGGGAGCGAACAGGAUUAGAUACCCUGGUAGUCCACGCCGUAAACGAUCAUCACUCGCUGUUGGCGAUAUACUGUCAGCGGCCAAGCGA